UAUGGUCCUGUAGCAUUGUUGAAAUAAAAAAUCGGUUCUGCUGGGUAGCUCGAAAUGAGCUACCCCGAAUGGCUCGAAAAUAUGUUUUGCGCUUGCUAUCACGCGCUUUAAAAAAAAAAAGUAUGACAAUUAAAACACAAAACACAUUAGAGAGGAGAGGAGACGACCGAGCGCGGGAAACAGGAGAGCAGACGACCGACCGACUUGGGUGUUCGCCGACGACUGACUUAGGUAAGCUGCGACAGUGAAACAUCUUCUUUGACGACUACCACCUAUGUUCGAAAUCCCUACUGCCAUGCAUAGGAGAUUAGCUUUGAGUCAGUUGGAGUUAGGAAUUUCAUGCUCUACAAGAAGCCCAAGAUGGAGAAUGAUGCUGCCAUUGAUGAUGAAAAGCAGGGGAUUGACAGGUAGGGGAAUGGAGAAGUUCUGUUUGAGGCUUUAAUUGUAAUAAAAUAGAAGUUCUAUUUUCUGUAACCAUUUUUUUCCCCUUGCAAUAAAAUAGAGAAGUUCUAUUUUUA